rfam:Trichuris suis scaffold98.6, whole genome shotgun sequence.
GCUGUUGUGGUCGAGUGGUUAAGGCGUUGAACUUAAAAUCCAAUGGGUCAUACUCGCAGAGGUUCAAAUCUUGUCCACAGCG